rfam:Felis catus isolate Cinnamon breed Abyssinian chromosome B2, whole genome shotgun sequence.
GCCCGGGUGGCUCAUUGGGUUAAGCGUCCGACUUCGACUCAGGUCAUGAUCUCACGUCUCGUGGGUUCGAGCCCCGCAUCGGGCU